GGGGCAGUGGCGUGGUAACAAAAGAGGAAAUACCACCUGUGCCCAGAACCCCCUUCCGUGAACUUCUGAGAUUAGGAGCAAACUCAGGGUCCGGGGACAGGGUGUAGGAAAGGGGCUCUGAGCCGCCUGUCUGCAAGCAAUAGUUCUCUUUGGGGCUGGUGGCUUCUGAGAAGAGACUCAGUGUGGACUGAGGUGACCAACAGUAAAUUGCCCUGACUGAUUCCAGCCAGAGGGAUUUGGGGCUGUGAGCUGUACCAUGGUCCAAACACUGACGUUUCCCCACCUCCACUCCCUCCAAUAGCGGCCCCCUUAGGCCUAUCCGUGUCGGGAUAUCGAACUUGAGUGUGUGCGAGCACAUGUGUGUGAUCAGGGUGUUUCUAUAUGUUCAGUCAGUUAGCUUUUAAUUGAGCCCCAUGGCCACUGCAGGCUCUCCGAUGAGUGCAAGUUGCCGUGUGGCUCAGGAGUCUUGCCCAUGUCCUUGUCUGUGGCUCAGGCCUCUUGCUUGGGCCAGCAACUGCGAGCUGGUGGAGUCCGGGCGGCAAAGGGCCCAGCCUUCCUGUGUCACAGGCAGUGGGGACUGGAGCAUACCAGUGACGGUCGGUUCUGGCGGGAUCUAUUCCCAUAGCAGCAGUAACGAGAAAGCAUCUUAACCGGCUUUGGGCAGCCUAGGUGGGAUGUGUGGUGUGUACAUCACAGCCCCUGGGAGGUGAGGGUGCUAAUGUCAUUGAAAACAGUGCAGCUUGGGGGAAGGGGUGCCACACUUAUAUGGCAGGAAGUGGUCAGCUCCAUAACUUGGCCCCAGGAUGACAGGAACCUGAGACUACGUCCUUGGGUUCCCAGGGUGUAUUAGGCUCCAUAACCCGGGUGCCCCAGGGUGGUCACUAGAGCACGUGUCCAACAUUUUCACAGCACCUCCAGCCCAGCUCCUCCCCCGCCUCACCCCCGAGCUCGCACUAGCCACAUGCCUGCUGUGC
rnacentral:lncRNA from 1 species